CGCAUGGUAGGAGAGCGUUCCGUAAGCCUGCGAAGGUGCCUUGUAAAGGGUGCUGGAGGUAUCGGAAGUGCGAAUGCUGACAUGAGUAGCGAUAAAGGGGGUGAAAGGCCCCCUCGCCGUAAGCCCAAGGUUUCCUACGCAACGUUCAUCGGCGUAGGGUGAGUCGGCCCCUAAGGCGAGGCAGAAAUGCGUAGCUGAUGGGAAGCAGGUCAAUAUUCCUGCACCGUCGUUAGAUGCGAUGGGGGGACGGAUCGCGGAAGGUUGUCCGGGUGUUGGAAGUCCCGGUCGCUGCAUUGGAGAAGGCGCUUAGGCAAAUCCGGGCGCAGGAUUCAAGGGUGUGGCGCGAGCUCCCUCGGGAGCGAAGCAAUUGGAAGUGGUUCCAAGAAAAGCCUCUAAGCUUCAGUCUAACGAUGACCGUACCGCAAACCGACACAGGUGGGCGAGAUGAGUAUUCUAAGGCGCUUGAGAGAACUCGGGAGAAGGAACUCGGCAAAUUGGUACCGUAACUUCGGGAUAAGGUACGCCCUUGUAGCUUGACCAGCCUGCGCUGGAAGGGUGAAGGGGUUGCAAUAAACUGGUGGCUGCGACUGUUUAAUAAAAACACAGCACUCUGCAAACACGAAAGUGGACGUAUAGGGUGUGACGCCUGCCCGGUGCCGGAAGAUUAAAUGAUGGGGUGCAAGCUCUUGAUUGAAGUCCCGGUAAACGGCGGCCGUAACUAUAACGGUCCUAAGGUAGCGAAAUUCCUUGUCGGGUAAGUUCCGACCUGCACGAAUGGCGUAACGAUGGCCACACUGUCUCCUCCCGAGACUCAGCGAAGUUGAAGUGUUUGUGAUGAUGCAAUCUACCCGCGGCUAGACGGAAAGACCCCAUGAACCUUUACUGUAGCUUUGCAUUGGACUUUGAACCGAUCUGUGUAGGAUAGGUGGGAGGCUAUGAAACCGGAACGCUAGUUUCGGUGGAGCCGUCCUUGAAAUACCACCCUGGUUUGUUUGAGGUUCUAACCUUGGCCCGUGAUCCGGGUCGGGGACAGUGCAUGGUAGGCAGUUUGACUGGGGCGGUCUCCUCCCAAAGCGUAACGGAGGAGUACGAAGGUACGCUAGGUACGGUCGGAAAUCGUGCUGAUAGUGCAAUGGCAUAAGCGUGCUUAACUGCGAGACCGACAAGUCGAGCAGGUGCGAAAGCAGGUCAUAGUGAUCCGGUGGUUCUGUAUGGAAGGGCCAUCGCUCAACGGAUAAAAGGUACUCUGGGGAUAACAGGCUGAUACCGCCCAAGAGUUCAUAUCGACGGCGGUGUUUGGCACCUCGAUGUCGGCUCAUCUCAUCCUGGGGCUGUAGCCGGUCCCAAGGGUAUGGCUGUUCGCCAUUUAAAGAGGUACGUGAGCUGGGUUUAAAACGUCGUGAGACAGUUUGGUCCCUAUCUGCCGUGGGCGUUGGAUAUUUGAAGGGGGCUGCUCCUAGUACGAGAGGACCGGAGUGGACGAACCUCUGGUGUACCGGUUGUGACGCCAGUCGCAUCGCCGGGUAGCUAUGUUCGGAAGAGAUAACCGCUGAAAGCAUCUAAGCGGGAAACUCGCCUUAAGAUGAGAUAUCCCUGGGGACUAGAUCCCCUUGAAGGGUCGUUCGAGACCAGGACGUUGAUAGGUCAGGUGUGUAAGCGCAGUAAUGCGUUCAGCUAACUGAUACUAAUUGCCCGUAAGGCUUGAUCCUAUAACA
rnacentral:rRNA from 1 species